rnacentral:lncRNA from 1 species
GUGUUGAACUGAAGAGAAGAUAGAGCUUGUACAAUAAAAGGGCAAGCUCUAGAAGAUGUCCAGAAGAGUUCAAUCAAGCUUCAGAAGUGAUUAGAAGCUGAUGCAAAGAAGAGACAAGAUCUAAGAAGUGUCUUGAAGGUGUAUACAAGACAUUGGAGGUGUUUGGGAGAUUAUGGUCGAUGGUGCAAAGUUAGGGAUCGGCCUGUACGGACGGACGUACGGAUGGUACGGACCGUACGGACAUGAUCGACCCAAAACUUAUCAGGUAGACCACUUGAGCACAUUUGAGGAAUGUGCAAUCUUAGGGCACAAGGUGUACGGUCAUGACAUCCGUACAGCCAAGUCUGAUCAUGUCUUGGGAGACAAGUUAAGGAGAAGGGCGUGUGAGACUAUCCAAGGGAGAAAGAUCCAUUUGGCAUAUUCAAAGAUGCCUUAGGAAGCAACCAGGAAGGUGCCUUUCUCUCCAGCUCACACAGACCAAUCACAGCAAAGUAUUCAGUCCACAAGACAGCUCAUGACAGCCUGUAAAGGCCAGACACGCCAAAGACUCCCAUUGGCCAAGCAUGUGAUGAUUCUGGUCCAUAGAAUUCAAAUGGGCGCUCCCCUUUAUGCUGACUUCACAUGCUUAGGUUAUCUGAUGAAUCCAGCCUCCAUUUAUGUAUUUAAGCUUCUUGUAAACAAUUGAAAACAUUAAGUGAGUAAGGGGGUUUCCCUUCUCCUUCUCUAAUCUUCAGUCUCUUAUUCUCUCAGUUUCUCUCUAGUCUCUUAAGUCUCUUAAUCUCUGUUCUUAAGUCUCUCACAUACUCAUAAACACUCUCACUAAUCCUUUUAUAUAUAUCACCUAGAACAAGCUCUAAUCAUUCUUCAUUGAAGCUUAUACACACACACAUACUACCAGAGUAGAGAUCUCUUUAAAAAUCAUAUGGUAUCAGAGCCAGGUUCAUCAGAACUUGAGUUGUAGCUUCCGCACAACACAAGCUCUACCCUCAGCUCAAAUCCAACCCUUGAAGACAUUCCCAUCCGAGUUCAGUUUCUCCAUGAGAAGAAGACUGAAGGGCGUGUCUCUUAUCCUUUCUCCUGUCUAUACUGAUGGAGAGACUCAUUGGAAGCAGAAGUGUAUGGAGAGGACUCAUGAACCUCAUCCAAGGUGCCUCCUCCAAGAGCUUUCUUCACCCGGUUAAUCAUGAAAGCUGUCAAGAUGAUGGCGCCUAGAAGACUUGAAGAAAGGAGGAGUCUUUGAGUUGGAGAAACAAGAAGGUGGCCAUGAACUGAAGGAGUAGGAGGUGGGUGACUAUCCAGACUCUCAGAUUCAACAAAAGCCAUGGCCAGUCCCCUUGGAGGUUUAAGGAACCAACCUGGUUCCUUGUGUAAGCGAUUUUAAAACCCUCUUGAUAAUGAGCUUGUGUUGUUGACUGGUUGUAUUGUGUGAUGUGAUUGAAAACCUGAGGACUGUUAAAGAUUGAUAAAUUAAAAUGUUUAGAAUCUGUCCCAGGAUACUUUAAGAGCUUUGUUUGGUGACUGAAUGUGAUUAAUAUGCUUAGCUUCGUUUCAUAGUGAUGCUUAGAGUGAUUAACUGAAUCUGCUUGCAUACAUGGAUUGAAACUGAAUUUAAAGCUGUUGCAUAUAGUCUUGUGGCUGUCUUACAUUGAAGCAUUAGAUUCAUGUCUAAAGUGCUGAGUAAAGAAGCUUUUAAAAGUGCCUAAGUAACUUGUCUUGAAUCUGUUAGGAUCUUGCUUGUUCUUAGAGAGCUAGCUUGCAAAGAAUAGAACUUGAUAAUGCCUUGUGUCUAUCUGUUGCAUUGCUUGUGAGAUUGGGAAUCAAACCUGAUGAUUAAUCAAGGAUUGAUCCCAAUACUCUUGUGUCUUAUCCUUGCUGGAGUUUGAGUGGUGUUUCAGGUUCACAAGAAGUGUUCUCUGCUCACCACCUAUCCAAGACAAGAGGAAGACUUGAACCAUUGUGUGGAGCAAUGGGAAGAUACUUGUGUGUAGAAGCUGGUUUAAGAAGCGCAGGCCACGAGGUUGUUGAGCUCCUGGUUCAAGACAUACAAGCGGAAGACCAACCAUUGUGUGGAGCAAUGGGAAGGUUCUUGUGUGUAGAAGCCGGUUUAAGAAGCGCAGGCCACGAGGUUGUUGAGCUCCUGGUUCAAGGCACACAAGAAGAAGAAGGUCACCACCUAUGCCAUGAGGAAGGCCGGUGAUCUGAGGGUACUUGAAGCUUAAAGCAAAAGGAUGGAUCAGUGAUUUAAGGGCAGCUGUUAGGGUGAUGUGCUCCUGGUCUUGAAGUUCAUUGAGGCUCAUUCUCGGUCUCAAGCUUGCGGUGGGGAUUCAAAUGAGCAACCUGAAGAGCUAAAGUUCAAGACCUGUUUCCUCCUUAUCAUUACAAUAGAAUGGUAAAAUGAAGCAUGUUGCCAACAUUCUGUGGGAAGUCCACAGCCUGCUCCAAAGAGGGUAGAGAGGAUGUUGUGACAAUGGAGAGAUGACUUAUGGUUCUGUCCAUGGUGGUUUAGUCACCAUAGCCUACACAUCAGAUGAGUGUAGAGAGGACAGUCGACAUGCAAAGAAAGAGCAUCACCAGGAGGGUGAUGCAAUGUAAACCAAGACCAUUGCAAGCUGAUCAUGGAGUGAUCCAGCCGAAGUAGAGGGAAGAAGAAAGCUACUCAAUAAGCUUCUGGUGUGAGGAGUGAUCCAGCCGAAGUAGAGGGAAGAAGAAAGCUACUCAAUAAGCUUCUGGUGUGAGAUGCUUGGAGAGUGAGCAUUGCAAGAGGGAUGGGCACACCAAGGAAAGGUGUUGGAUACUGAAUCCAAGCAUCAAACCUGCCAAGUUCAAGUGAACCGUGCCCAUGGAGGUUCAAGAGAUCAGCUCGGAUCUCUUGUUUGUAAGCAAACCUCUUAACCCUUAAUAAGAGCUUGUGUCUUUAUUUAUUGUACUGUGAGUGGUGUCUAGAGUCCCAGAAUCUCAUGUUUUGUUUAUUGCAUUGUCUUGAGUGUUGUCAUAGCUUGAAUCAUCAUGAAUGUGUUGUAGAAUUGAGUAGAAUUCUCUGCUGCUUGCAUCAUGAUUGAUAAGUUCUUUUGCAUACAUAAGCAUAUCUCAUACUGUCUAAGUUCAAACCUAGUGUUCUCUGAUGCUAUUGCCUAUGUUUAAUCCAUCAAUGAAAGUCUUGCAUCAAUUAGAAAUUGUCUAAGUUGCUUGCAUCAUUGGUUCUGAUUGAAACUGUUGUGCAGUGCUUUAAUAUUACUCAUGGAUUGAACCCGUUGCAUUCAUAUAGCUAAUGCUUUAAGAUUGUGCAUUCAUGUAGUAAUGCAUUUAAAAAUGAGCCUAAAUUGCAAAUGUCCUGAUAUAAGCUUUGCAUUUAGAGAACUGUAUAGAACUUGCAUUGUCAUUGUUAGAAAUUGAAAUCUGCUUGUCUCGACUCAAUCCAGUUCUGAUUGUUGCUAUGCCAUAGUUAAAUCCAUCAGUGAUGUCUUAUAAGCAUUUAGAAGUAUGUCUAAGCUACUUGAAUCAUUGGCCUUGAUAAAACUAGUGAGCAUAAGCAUGAAUUGUGUCACUCUUGUCGCCUUAAUUGCAGAAGUAUCAUCUAGACUUGUGUUCCAUUUUGGAUUGAAUCUGUUUCAUUCAUAUAGUUAGUGUAACCUAAUGCAUUCAUCUAUUGUUGCAUUUAAAAAAAAAAAAAAAAAAACUGAAUUGAUUGUCUUUGCUUGAUUGUCUUGAUUGUCUAGCUUGUUUCAAGUAUCAUAUAUUAUUGUGGCAUUGGUGAUCAAACAGGAUGGAUGAUCUUGGUUUGAUCCCAAUGGGAUGAUCUGAUCUUGCAUUGAGUUUUGGUGGUGUUAGGUACACAAGGGAAGUGAUACAUGUAACUCGCCAUCAACCAAGAAUGUAGAGACAAAGGUCUUGUGCCAUUGCAUAUCAUCACUAGGACAUGUUAGUCCAUAAUCUACAGGAAGUGUAGUGUGAUUGAGUAUGCAAUGAGAGAUAGCCAUUGCAUAAUACCAUUGGACAUAUCCAGUCCUUAGUCUACAGGAAGUGUAGCAUGGGUCAUUAUGCAAUGAGAGGUGUGUCUUGUGAGACUCUCUAUGGUGAUUCAAACACCCUAGUUCCUGGUUAAGGAAGAGAGUAAACUCACAAGAAGAAAGCUAUCAUGAAAGAUGAUAGUUAUUAGACCAUGGAGAUGCAUAGGAUCAUCACAAGCUUAGCUCCUUCUAGUUUCGGUUCUAAGCUUGAGGGGGAGUCUUAAUGCAUAUGAUCCAUGGUCAGUAACAAGUCUUUUGCAAAAGCUUCUACAAGGAUCAUCAACCGGACCAAGUCAGUGGCGUGUCUAGGCAAGAGGCUGUUCAGAGCAGCCUUGGCGAGUAAGGAGGAAGGCUCUCCAUCAAUGCGGCUUCAAUGAGAGGUGAUUGAGGAGAAGCUGAUGAAUCCAUUCUGCCUUUCCAAGAAGUUGAUGAUGCCAUGAAGAUGGUGCAUUGAGAGAGUUUGGAAACUCACAAAAACACAAGGGAAGUUCCCUUAGACUCUUAAAACUCCUUUCAAUCUUUUUCAUUCAUCUUAUUCAUUGCUUGUGCUUGAAAAGAUACUUAAGAUGAUUAUAAUUGAAUUGUGAGAUUGUGUGCAUCAAGUGUGAUGCAGGAUAUUCAUUUUCUUGUUUUUGAUAGGUACUGAUGCACCUUUGGGAUAAUGUAUCAGGUACCAUUGCUUGAGCCUCACUAAAGAUGUUCCUGGUCAGCUCCUAGCUUCUCUAAGAUGGCUGAGAAGUUUGUUGAGAGGGGGAGAUCCAAACCAGUUCUAUGAAGAGGGCACGCCGUGUGUGAAGUGUUGAUCAGCCUCACUAGUGUUUUGAAGAUGAUCUGGUCGUGUCCUAGCUUCUCUAAGAUGGCUGUGAAGUCAGUUGAGAGGGGGAGACUUCAAACCGGUUCCAUGAAAAGGUGAAGCUGAAGUGUGAAGUGUGAAGUGUGCGCAAAGCUGUGAAGAGUUGCUGCACCUGUUAGGCCGUGAUCCAGAGCUUCUUGUGUCCAACCACACUGGUUCUAAGGCACAAGAGCUCACUGGCCAAUCCCUAGGCUUUGGAGAGCUCUACUCUUUUUCCCUUGCAAGGUUUUGUCCCAAUGGGUUUUCCUUGUAAGGUUUUUAAUGAGGGAGACUCUUCAGAGUUCCAAGCUUGGCUUAGGAUCUCCUAAAGUCAAGCUUGAGGGGGAGUGUUGAACUGAAGAGAAGAUAGAGCUUGUACAAUAAAAGGGCAAGCUCUAGAAGAUGUCCAGAAGAGUUCAAUCAAGCUUCAGAAGUGAUUAGAAGCUGAUGCAAAGAAGAGACAAGAUCUAAGAAGUGUCUUGAAGGUGUAUACAAGACAUUGGAGGAGUUUGGGAGAUUAUGGUCGAUGGUGCAAAGUUAGGGAUCGGCCUGUACGGACGGACGUACGGAUGGUACGGACCGUACGGACAUGAUCGACCCAAAACUUAUCAGGUAGACCACUUGAGCACAUUUGAGGAAUGUGCAAUCUUAGGGCACAAGGUGUACGGUCAUGACAUCCGUACAGCCAAGUCUGAUCAUGUCUUGGGAGACAAGUUAAGGAGAAGGGCGUGUGAGACUAUCCAAGGGAGAAAGAUCCAUUUGGCAUAUUCAAAGAUGCCUUAGGAAGCAACCAGGAAGGUGCCUUUCUCUCCAGCUCACACAGACCAAUCACAGCAAAGUAUUCAGUCCACAAGACAGCUCAUGACAGCCUGUAAAGGCCAGACACGCCAAAGACUCCCAUUGGCCAAGCAUGUGAUGAUUCUGGUCCAUAGAAUUCAAAUGGGCGCUCCCCUUUAUGCUGACUUCACAUGCUUAGGUUAUCUGAUGAAUCCAGCCUCCAUUUAUGUAUUUAAGCUUCUUGUAAACAAUUGAAAAAAUUAAGUGAGUAAGGGGGUUUCCCUUCUCCUUCUCUAAUCUUCAG